AGGGAAUCCUCUAAUUGGUGAAAGUGUUCAACCGGGGCAAUCUGAGAUCACAUGUUGGUUGCCCCUGUCGAACUAUUUUUCACCGAAUAAGAUGAUUUAGCAUGUUUGGUAUAUAGUUUUAUCGUGUUCGAGAACUUCAUCUGGAUGAGCUUUCUCACAAUACCCGUCUCAAGCCCAGAUAAAGGAGAAGAGACAUUGUGGUAGACUGAUAGCGAGCGUAAACUAGCCAGCUCAUAGUGAAUCAUCAACAAAUAGAUACAUAUAUAAUGAGGAUUCAUAUAGAUCCUAACUUUUAUGAUUGUGCCAA